GUGGGGAAUUUUGGACAAUGGGCGCAAGCCUGAUCCAGCAAUGCCGCGUGCAGGAAGAAGGCCUUCGGGUUGUAAACUGCUUUUGUACGGAACGAAACGGUCCUGGUUAAUACCUGGGGCUAAUGACGGUACCGUAAGAAUAAGCACCGGCUAACUACGUGCCAGCAGCCGCGGUAAUACGUAGGGUGCGAGCGUUAAUCGGAAUUACUGGGCGUAAAGCGUGCGCAGGCGGUGCUGUAAGACAGGCGUGAAAUCCCCGGGCUCAACCUGGGAAUUGCGCUUGUGACUGCAAGGCUGGAGUGCGGCAGAGGGGGAUGGAAUUCCGCGUGUAGCAGUGAAAUGCGUAGAUAUGCGGAGGAACACCGAUGGCGAAGGCAAUCCCCUGGGCCUGCACUGACGCUCAUGCACGAAAGCGUGGGGAGCAAACAGGAUUAGAUACCCCUGUAGUCC
rnacentral:rRNA from 1 species